UACAGAGGCCUCGAGCGUUAGGCGGAAUCACUGGGCUUAAAGCGUGUGUAGGCGGACUUCUAAGUACCUUGUGAAAUCCCACGGCUCACCCGUGGAACUGCUUGGUAUACUGGUUGUCUUGAGCCUUCUAGGGGCGAGUGGAACAAAUGGUGGAGCGGUGAAAUGCGUAGAUAUCAGGAGGAACACCGGUGGCGAAGGCGGAUCUCUGGGCCAUUACUGACGCUGAGGAGCGAAAGCGUGGGGAGCGAACAGG
rnacentral:rRNA from 1 species